GACGUAGGGUGCGAGCGUUGUCCGGAUUUAUUGGGCGUAAAGAGCUCGGUAGGCGGCUCGUCGCGUCGACCGUGAAAACCCGCAGCUUAACUGCGGGCUUGCGGUUGAUACUGGCGGACUAGAGUACGGUAGAGGGUGGCGGAACUCCGGGUGUAGCGGAUGAAUGCGUAGAUAUCCGGAAGAACACCGAUGGCCGGAAGGCAGCCCCCUGGGGCCAAAUACUGACGCUC
rnacentral:rRNA from 1 species